GCUGAACUAUCAGUCCUCUGUAUCUAAUUGUCAAUAUACGAAAGUACAGAGGACAGAGGACCAUCUCAAACUACACCAUGGAGAUGCAGUCUGCAAAAUCCAGAGAGAGGAAGAUGCUACAGGAUAUACAGCCUGAUUUCUUCAACAAGGCAGAAAAGCAGAGAAGUAGAAUUGUCCUACUUCCAGAGAGAUACAGGAGAUUACAUGUGAAUUUCCAUUGUUUUAUUUAAAAAAAUAAAUAUGCAUAAUUUGUUAUGAGUAUAUUUAGG
rnacentral:lncRNA from 13 species